rnacentral:rRNA from 1 species
UACGUAGGGACCAAGCGUUGUUCGGAUUUACUGGGCGUAAAGGGCGCGUAGGCGGCAAUUCAAGUCAGCUGUGAAAUCUCCGGGCUUAACUCGGAACGGUCAGCUGAUACUGCUUUGCUAGAGUGCAGAAGGGGCAAUCGGAAUUCUUGGUGUAGCGGUGAAAUGCGUAGAUAUCAAGAGGAACACCUGAGGUGAAGACGGGUUGCUGGGCUGACACUGACGCUGGGGCGCGAAAGCUAGGGUAGCAAACGGG